ACUACCUAAGAUUUUUUUUAAAUCCAUAAAAAAUUCACACUGAGUCGUGAUCAAGAUAAAAACAGUUCUCAUCACAAAUACAUUUUAAAGAAAAGAGAUUGAGAGUUGCUCAUAAAAGCACACAGAGAAAGAAAGCAUGAUGGAUCCAAAGGAGAAGCCGCGUGUUUAGACGGCUGGCCAGACUUCUCCUGGGAAGUAAGUGCCAGGCAAAGACAGAAGCUGUUUUCCAAGUGUUUGUGAAGAUGGACAGGACAGAACUUUAACUCCAGAUAAGCAACUGCUCAAGAAUAAAGAUAACACAUUUCAAUAUGUCUAAAGCCCCACAGAGCUAACUGAGUCUAACCCAAGGAUUCUCCAAAGAGAAGAGUCUGUGGGAAAGAAUAAAAAGUCAAAAUGAAAAGCAGAAUUCAGGAAGAACAACCUUUGCCCACAAAGAAUUGGUGAAAUGUUUGUGUGAUCUGCAUGGCCAAACAAUGGACCUGGAAGUUUAAGGAAGAUUUUUCUUCAGAACGCAUUAUGGUCCCUUGAACUAGGGAACAAGAAAUGGUACCCAAAGAACAUGGUUGCGUAUAGACAGAUGGUCAAUAGAUUUUAUGUUCGUUUCUAAGUAAGAAUUCAUUGUUAUCUUUACAGUAGACAACUGGAGCAUGAGCAAGUGUUUUUCAGGGGAAGUGGACAUACAACUUCUUUGGAGGGAGACACUCGGAAUGUGAAGUCUAGAAGGAAAUAUAGGUCUCCCAAGUGCGUCUGUGAGAGUUGUUUUGGAUGUAAAGAUUGUUUGAAACUCGAUGGUUAAUAGUUUUCCUUGGCUGAAAAUCCAACUUCUCUGUUAUGCCCACUGAGUUCAGCAGCUCAGAGCGACUGGUGCACAAUUUAAGAGGAGUAGAGAUUGACUUCGUGGUAUGUAUGUGGGAGAUGCAGGGUCUUCAUGUUGUGCCACACACUUUCCAGCUGCAGUUUGAAGAACACAAUUGGUUUUCCACAGGGAUCCAGACAGGCAACAUGAUUGAGCCACUGAAGGAGGAUGAUCUGGUCCCGGAGAAGUUGUAUCUGGCACAAGAGAUAACAGCUCUCACAUGGAGAGUGGGAAAAUGUUUCCCGGACAAUGAGAAUGACUGACAGAUAUUAGAAGGGAGGAAAUUGAAGGCCUUGCCAAGUUUCGUGAUAAAAUGCUAUUUCUCACGGUAAGGUCAAGCUGUCUCCAGUGCAGCUACUGCUUUUCGAGUGCAAAGGAAACAGCAGAUUGGACAGAGUGUGGUAGAGUUUUGCAAAGAGUUUGCGAUCAAAGGCCACUUGUUUCAUUUGUAAAUGAAAUUGGAUGAGCAUGAGAGGCAUAAAGCUCAUCAAGGACGUGUUUGGAAUCUGCCGAUGAGUUAAAAGUUAAGAGCCAUGAGUAAGAAUGUCCCUAAAGACUUGAUCCCAGACUUUGGAUACAAAAUGACCGUCAAUGUUUGCAAGAUUACACAUGCCAAGGGAAGGUUGAAUCUGACUUUUCAAAGGCAGCAUUGUGCCAACAGCUUGGGAAUGACACUAUUGUGAAAUAUUGAUGAGUGCUUUGAAGGGUAGAAUAUAAAGUCUUGUAGUUUCCAAAGAUCAAGAGCCUAAAACGGAAGCAUAGCAUGCUCGUGUUUCUGAGAAGCAGAGUCCUCGUUUAUGCAUCAGGAGAGAGAUAAUUGUUCUGUUUAACAGGUGCUGAGCCAGAUGUAGGGAGGAGCUGAAUCUCUUCUCCUUUAAAGGCUUUGAAGAAUAGCUCUGCAGUGGUUUCAUGUCAACCUGACAAGGUGUCUUGGCUAAGCGUUAUUCUGAGUGUGUCUGAGAGGAUGUUUCUGAAUGAACAAUGGAAUCAGGAGCCUACAGCAGUGUGCCCUCUGCAGUGUGGGUGGGCCCGGUCCAGUCCGUGGAAACCAUGAGACAAUACAUUGAGUGAGGAGAAGUCCCACUGACUUGGGUCUGGAAGGUUGAUUUGCUCUUGUGUUUGGAUUUGAAGUCAGACUAGACUUUUCGCAUCCAACUUGUUCUCCGACAAGAUCUGUGUCAUAGGUUCUCCCCUGGGUUUUCAGCUUGCUGACUAAGGGUAUGGAAUUACUUAGCCUCUGUAAUCAUGUGAACCAAUUCCUCUGUGUGUGUGUGUGUGUGUGUGUGUGUGUGUGUGUGUAUUUGAGUAUGUCUGUGAGAGAGAGUUUGUGUGUAUGUGGUGUGUGUGAGUGUGUGUAUGUGAGUGUGUGGUGUGUGAAUGUAUGUGUGUGAGAAUGUGUGUGAGUAUGUGAGUGUGUGCGUGUGAGAAGGUGUGAGUGUGAGUAUGUGUGCAUGUGUGAGUAUGGGUGUAUGUGUUUCAGUGUAUCUGUGAGUGUGAGUGUAUGUGUAUGUAUAUUUGUGAGUGUGUGUGUAUGAGUGUGUGUGUAUGUGUGUGAGUGAGUGUGUGUUUCUUUUAUUGGUUCUGUUUCUUUAAAUAACCACAGUUGAUCCACAUCAACACCUUCAGCCUUGGAGAGGUUCGAUCUGAGGCUGUGCAGUGAGCACAGCCUUUGGUCCAGUGAUUGGUCAUCUGGGGAUUUAUCCUGCAGAAACAUUUGGACGUGGGACAGUGUACUAGGAAUGAAGGCCACCGUGAUGCACAUCACUGGGAGAUACCAUUCACCCCCGGCCUGUUCAUCACACCUUCGAAGCACAGCAAAGGUGUUCAGAAUUAAAUUUUUAGAAAUGGCAAACAUAGCAAAUGGUCGCGAUUGGAAGAGGCUGAGAGAAGCCGUGUGACGUUUAUGUGAUUACAUUGUGCCUUUGUUUGGAAAACUGAGACUGAUUUGGAUAAUCUGACAGGGAUAUGUGUACAAGUGGAGAAAAGCCAAGGUUGAGUAGAACAGUUGUACAGUGCGUUCACACUUGCGUGGAUGUGUGUGUGUGCUUGUGUACAGAUGGAUGUGCAUAUUACUAUAUAUGUGCACACACUGAGAACAUUCCUGGAAGGAUACAUAAACUGCAGAGACUAGUUGAUGCUGGAAAGAGAGCCUUGUGGUCAGAGCAACUAGAAAGUCUACUGUAUUUUGCUGUAAAUACCUUUAAAUGUUUUUUUUUUCUUUUUGUUAUGGCUAAGUAUUAGUUCCAUCGUUAAAAUCAAAGAACAAAAAAACAAAGAAACAAACAAAAACAACAACAACCCACAACUGAUCUAAAACUCAUCCAUUCUGUCAAUAAUUACAUGUACCAUGGAUGUACUGACCCAAAACCUUCCCAAAGGGCCAUGUGUGCACACAGUGAUACACAUAUGUGGCAGCCCACACACCUCUGGCAUCACUGCCCUGUCCAGGCUCUGUAGCUACACUGGAAAAGCUCACGUUCCCUUCACUGCCUUCCUUUCUGCUCUGACCUGAAGAGUCACCCAAACUGCUUCUGGACCUGCUGGCUAAUGGACCUGCUGGCUAAUGGCUGGCGGAAACGGUGGCUUGCACUCCUCCUUGGGAGUUGGUUUACCGACUCCUGGCUGUUAUUUCUUCUCUCAUGACGCAACAUUAGAAUCUUUCUGGAUAACUCCUUCAGCAGCUACUGCUCACCUUUUUUUUUUUCUUUUUUUCGGAGCUGGGGACUGAACCCAGGGCCCUGCGCUUCCUAGGCAAGCGCUCUACCACUGAGCUAAAUCCCCAACCCCUACUGCUCACCUUUAACCUCCUUAUAGUGCUCUGUGGAGAAAUAGCUUCUGACGCGUGACAAGGGCAAAGGACCCGAUAAAUGUAUCACUCCAUUGAAGACUGCAGAAAGAACUUGGGAGUACAUGGUACCUAUGAAAUCCAACACUUGGAUUUUCAUUUCAAGACUAAAAUGUUAUUUAAAGUGGUAGAAUGCCUGAUUUUGCUCUUGGGAGUACAAUAAGCAGAUAUUGAUUUCUGCUGAAGUUAACAUCAGGAAUUAUUGAACUGAAAGGUUCACACUGCUCUGGUCUCCACAUGAGUAAAUAUUUAGCUUGGAAAAAUAAUUAUUGUUGAUGUUAAGUUAAAAAUUAUACAUAUAUACAUAUAUGUGUAUAUAUGUACAUAAUUUUACAUAUAUAUAUAUCUGUGUGUGUGUUCUUUGUUCCAUGGUAAGGUGAAUGUUGACUAUACAUGCAUACACAUGCAAAUUUACAUAUGAGUAUAUUGUUACUUUUAUAUUGUUCUCUAUAUAUUUGUAUAGUAUAUACUUAAAACAUCUCUAAAGAAUAUUAGGUUUUGUAAAAGAAGCAAGUUAUAAAACUAGCAGCCCACCUGUGUCUUCACAUCUCCUGAUGAAGCCACCCCUGCCCUCUGUUGUUCGUCUUUCAUCAAGGCCCUCACUGUGUGCACAUCAUUCCGUUUGCUCAUGAAACAGAAGUCAGUGGAGAAAGACAGAAAGGUGGAGUGACCAAAUCAUCGGCCCCACCUCUGGUUUUAGAUCACUUACCAUUGGACAACUCCAUCUCAGGUAUGCCUGAAGAAAAGCUGUGACAGAGGAGGGUGCUAUCAGAAUCCAUCUCACCAACAUCCCCCUGCAUCGGAGCAAUGUAAGUGUACCAGGUUAGGAAGACAUGGCUGGCGGUUAAUACAGUGUUAUUUAUAAUAUUACAUUGAUGCCAUUUUCAUGGGAGCUGCUAGAAUGCACCGAGCCUUCUGCAUUUAUCAUACCAGGUUAUUUCUUGCCAUAAACCCAUGAGGCCAAUGCUGUCAGCCACAUUUUAUAAACAAAACGGUUGAAGCUAAGAAAUGCUAAGUCCUUUACGCACGGUCCUGCAGAUAUUAACAGCUGGGGUUUGAAUCGAUAUCUGUUUGAGUUCAGAGUCUAUAUUCUUAGCAUUGUUUUAUGUUACCUUUUGCUGAUCAGCACAGCUGUGUUCAAGUGCAUAUGUCUUAAAGGUCCUGCAAACGCAGUUUAUUCAUAGUAAGUGAGACUGGGGAAGAGUGCUCCUGAGACAGAAGGACUGGCUCGGUGAGGCCAAGACACGGAGAUAAAGGAGUACCCUGUAGUCAGCCACUAAUUGCCUCAGCCUUAUGCUGUCCAGAGGUCUGUUUCUUAGUCUUCAAGUUUUCUUUCGACUAGGACCUAUUUUUGCAGUCAGUCACGAGUGCACACAGCAUUUAGCACAGUAGUUACUGAGUGGAAUAAUACUUCUGUUCCCGUCAUGAAGUCACGUGUGGAGGGAAUGCUGUAGGCAGCGCCUGACUAGCCUACCUGGGAGAGAGCAUAUCUUGCCUCGCUGUGGGCGGCUUUCAAGUGAUGGCCAGUAGGUAUGGGCAAGCAUCAAGAUGCGAUUCAUCAAUUCGAGCAGUCCCUCCUCGAGUUGAGGAUCUCCAUUUUCAGAGUUCCCCAGGGUCCCUCUGAACCCUUUCUUCAACUCUUUCACAGCUGGGCUUCUCCUGACUGAAGAAGCUGCUCCUUAGCCCUGCCCUCCCAUCCCCCACUGUUGUUCUUUUUGCCUCAGGAACGCAACACCCGCAUUUCUUGUAAAUAAGUUGAUUUGAGGACUGCCCCCUUUCCCUCCUAUUCUCCAGGGUCAGCAGAAGAGGUUCAGAUCCACAAGGCUGAAGCUGAACUCAGUCCUGGGAUAGAACCUGAAGCGGCCAAGCUCCCAGCCCCCCACAUUCCUUUCCCUAUCCAUUCCACAAACACGCCUGGCUUGACCUUGCUCUGACCUUGCGAGCAGCUUCAGAAGAGCUGGCUCUGAAAGUUAGCAACGAUGACCAACCGUACUCCUUCAACACAGCAUGAUGAUUUCAUUACAUCUUAAAACGUUGAGCUUGGUUGAACAGCAGUGUGAAUUGUCCAGCCUGAGUUGACGUUCCUUCCCCAAUGGUGAAGGGAAAGAUCUUGUAAUGUUUGAAAAAAAUUAUUUUAUUUUAUUUUGUUGUUUUUGCAAGUUUGGAAUGUUAUCUCUCCUCUCCCUGUCCAAAGGAAAUAAAAUGUGCUAGUGGUUUAAUGAGAAAAAUCUAAAUGGAAUUCCAAUGAUCAACUGAUACACUUUUCCAAGCUUACGAAGCAAGCCAGUGAUAAAUGGCCGGUGAUGGGCUCCACAAUCGCUUAUAUGCAAUCAAAUCACUAAAGGGGCCUAUCAGGCCCUGUAGUCACCACAGAUGCCGUGAGAGGCGACUGUUAGGACAGGCAAGCCACUGGACCUGAAACCAGCCUCAUUUUUCUGAAGCCAGUGGGUGGAGCAGACUCUUCCCAACACGGUUUUGCUAUGAAUUUUUCCACUCUUUUUCCCCCCUAUAAUUUUUCCCCUUUUCAUUUUUUCUUUCUUUUUCAAGAACAUUCCCCCAUCUAGGGAAGAAAGGAAACACUCAUCUUUCUGCUGACUGGCUUGUGCACAACUGGAAAUUAUCAAAGACAUCGCUGUAUCGUUGAUGUAGUCAGAAAACAGGAAGCCGAUUUCCAUCUGAGAAUGAGCCCUCUCAGCUGAAGCUCCCUUUGGGGUCGAUGACCACGCUCUUUCCAUCUUGGGGCAAGGCCAACUUUAUUAAACUUCUACAGCACCAGCUUAUUUUUCAACCCUUCCCAAACAGAGCUUUUCCGAUGGAGUUCUCUCAGUCACGUGCACGGUCACGUGUUUGCUGCCAGCAAAGAGCUCCACAGGACCAGGACCUUACCUUCUAUGGGCACGGCCUGGAUGGUAUUCUCUCGUGAUCAAAAACAUUAGGAGGGCUGUGGAAGGAGAUGACUCGGGCGGUGAAAUGCCUGCCUUGCAAGCCUGAGGCCCCGAUUUGAAACUCCAGCACCCAUGCUAAGGCACCAGGACGUGAGACCGCCAACACCAGUGCCACAGAUAGCAGGAUAGAGCAGAGGCAGGUAGAGCUCACCCGGCAGUCAGCACAGCCCAACUGAAGGUGUCCAAGUUUGGUGAGAGAACUUGUCUCAAACAACGAGAGAUCCAAGAAGGCACCAAAUGUUGACAUCAGGCUUGUACAACAUACCUAAGCACCUACACACAUAUAUGCGCGCGCGCGCGCACACACACACACACACACACACACACACACACACACAAACACACACACACACACACCUGUGAAUAUGUCUGUAUACUGCCCCCAUACAACCACUUGGGGGCCCUUUAGUAAUUCUCACUCAAAGAUGAGGGUGGGCAGAAAAGGCACACGGGGAUUGAGAGCCCAGAUGUUCAUCGUGUGAGUGGGGGAAAAAACAUAAACUCUGCAGACCUAGAGAAGGAUCUGGAAAGUCCACUUGGAGACGAUGGCAAAGCAUCAACUGUGCCUAAGUUGAAGGAGAAAGAAGUGGAAUUAGAAGAGUUGGAGGAAGAAGAGAGGUUAAGGGGAAAGAGCAAGAAAGAAAUAAAGUCGUCUCUUGAGGUCUGGGUGAGGUCCAUUCCUCAAAAAAAGUCAAACAAACACAAAAGAAAGAGAAAAGAAAGGAGACGUGAAAAACUACUCUGCUGUUUAUUCGGCAAAUUAGAAAUCAGUUUUAUUAACUCCAAGAGGCAGACUUGACCUAGAAAACCACCAAAAAAGAAGAGGAGAAGGAAGGGAAAGAAAAUAGUGAUCAAGAAUCAGUAAUUCUUAAAAUAACCAAAGAUGGUUUUAAAUGAUUUGCUUUAAUAUAAAAACCAGAAAUUUAGGGCAUAAAAAUAAAAAUUAAUUUACUUUAAGAAUGAGUAUUAACGUUCCUCAAACACAUUUAAGAUGUGUGUAAACGAAACACAAGAUUUGGAGCAGAAUUCUACACAGAGCAGCAGUUAAGAGCCCUAAGGUUUGUUUCCUACCGUGGGAGUGGUUAGUAUUGAGAAAAACUUUAAUUUCUCAGAGUAUCUCAGAAUUGGAGUCGCCAACCUCUGUUACAGCCUCAACAAAUGGGCCCUGAGCAACAUUUAUCACAGACUGGUUUUCCCUCCAUGUUGGUAAAGUCUACCUCUAACAAUUCUUCUGCUCGGAAAACAUGUGUGUAAAUCCUUAAUCUGUGCUUAGCACCACCUAUGGCAAAUGGCUAUGAAGGUUAAUACAUCGAGUUAUAAAGAUUCACCACUAUUCUUGUUAGUUAUGAGGAAGCAUGGCAGGACUCCUAGUCCAGUUCUACAGAAGAGCCUUCUGGAGUCUUCAAGCCUGGCUUCAACUCCUCUUCAGAAGCCUUCCUUUGUUAGCAGGCUGCAUAUAAUCCCUACCAAGAACGACCUUUUAAAUAUGGAGAGCACAUACCACUGAGGAUGAAUGAAUGGCCAUGUUAUAAAACCUGCUGUUUGGGUUAGACAUGAAUAAAAGACAAAUGGUGUUUAAGGCUUUCAUUUAAAACACUUGGUCGUUCUUGUUCGAUCUUAUGAUACCUCUCAGACCAGAACUCUCAUUCAAUGGGGUAACCAAUCACUCUGAAAUUCUGUGUAGCUUCUGGUCCUGUCUCUGAAGUUAAUCUUGAAAGAGCGGUCAAAGUGCACACUUUUGAAUUUCUUCUUCAAGGUAUGGAGUACCUUUGACCAAGAUUAGGUUCAAAUAUGAUAGUUGGCCAUUCUCAAGUCUGAACGUUUCUCAUUAUACCGGUUAAAUUUCUUAAAUAAAUGACAGUGCUUCCAGUCAGAGACACUGUGAGCUACCAAUAAAAAUCAUGCUGUAUUUGAAAUUUAUGGUAUGUAAAUAAGUGAAAAAAUCAGAUUACACAAUAAUAACUAUGAUGUAUAUGGCAUUUCUAUGUGAUAAGUGUAUAUGCAUGCAAGAGAAAAUAUUUUAAAUGUUAUGUCCCAACAUGGUAAAAAAAUUAAUGGUGGGGCUGGGGAUUUAGCUCAGUGGUAGAGCGCUUACCUAGGAAGCGCAAAGCCCUGGGUUCGGUCCCCAGCUCAAAAAAAAAAAAAUUAAUGGUGAUUAUUGCAUAAAUCUGGGGUCGGACAUGUUACUUCGCUUUUGUCUCCGU